rnacentral:rRNA from 1 species
GACGAACGCUGGCGGCGUGCUUAACACAUGCAAGUCGAACGGAAAGGCCCUGCUUUUGUGGGGUGCUCGAGUGGCGAACGGGUGAGUAACACGUGAGUAACCUGCCCUUGACUUUGGGAUAACUUCAGGAAACUGGGGCUAAUACCGGAUAGGAGCUCCUGCUGCAUGGUGGGGGUUGGAAAGUUUCGGCGGUUGGGGAUGGACUCGCGGCUUAUCAGCUUGUUGGUGGGGUAGUGGCUUACCAAGGCUUUGACGGGUAGCCGGCCUGAGAGGGUGACCGGCCCAUUGGGGACUGGGAAACGGCCCAGACCCCGACGGGGGGCAGAGGGGGGGAAUUUGGCAAAAGGGGGGGAAGCCUGAGGCAGAAACGCCGGGGGGGGGAUGACGGCCUUCGGGUUGAAAACCCCUUUCACCUGUGACGAAGGGUGGGUGGCGGGAAUGGGUAAAGAAGCACCGGCUAAAUACGG